UCUAAUCGUAAUAAUUUUUAUUUUUUAAAAAAACUGCAAUUCUUUUCUUUUAAAAGAAACAUUAUGUGAUGUAAAACAUUCCAAUAAUAAAAUAGACUUGUUUGAAUUGAUUAAUGGCCAAUGUAAUGGUAAGCUUGCUUUAAUAAAUUAUUUGAAAUACUAUGAGGCAUUUAGUUGUAACAUUUAUUAUGCAGAAUCAUUCCAAUUUCUUUCAUAGUCAUUAUUUCAUUUUUAACCAGGAGGCCAACUUUCUACACUUUUUAGAAAAAAAUUUUCUAGUGGUAGUUAAGUUUACAUUUUAAUGUAUUAUUCUUAGCUUUGUAAAUUUGAUUUCAAAUUAUUUUCUUCGCCACUAAUAAUUCAUGUAAACAAUUCAAAAUUUUUAUUAGUCUAUCACUCUUAAAAAUAUUUUGCAAAAAGCAUGGUAGUUGGCAACCCGGUUUUUAACUAUCACAUUUUUCACAGUAAUAACUUUUUGCAGAAUAAAAUACUCAUUUUCAGCAACUUCAGUCAGUCAAUGUAUUUGUAAGCUUUGAUAAAUUAUUUUAAUUACUAUGUGGCAUUCAAAUUUAUCAGUUAUUUAUUAUACAUAUUCAUUCAUUAUUUUCAUAAUCAUUGUUUCACUUCCAACUACCAUUUGUUUUCGUUUACACAUUUUGUAUUGUUUGCACAUUUGUGAAAUAGAUAUUAAUGUGUUUUAUGUGUAAUGAUCUUAUUUGAUAGUAAUAUAUGUACAAAUGAAAAAAAUAGAUUAUUUUUCUAUUUGUAUACAAAUAGUGAAAAAUUUUUAUAUAACUGACGUUUAUAUUUGGAAGGAGUUUAAAUUUUGGUUGUAUGUUUUACAAAAUAAAUUAUUAUGAUAUAUA